rnacentral:rRNA from 1 species
GACGAACGCUGGCGGCGUGCCUAAUACAUGCAAGUAGAACGCUGGAGGAGGAGCUUGCUUCUCUGGAUGAGUUGCGAACGGGUGAGUAACGCGUAGGUAACCUGCCUGGUAGCGGGGGAUAACUAUUGGAAACGAUAGCUAAUACCGCAUAAUAUUGACUAUUGCAUGAUAGUCAGUUGAAAGGUGCAACUGCACCACUACCAGAUGGACCUGCGUUGUAUUAGCUAGUUGGUGGGGUAACGGCUCACCAAGGCGACGAUACAUAGCCGACCUGAGAGGGUGAUCGGCCACACUGGGACUGAGACACGGCCCAGACUCCUACGGGAGGCAGCAGUAGGGAAUCUUCGGCAAUGGACGGAAGUCUGACCGAGCAACGCCGCGUGAGUGAAGAAGGUUUUCGGAUCGUAAAGCUCUGUUGUAAGAGAAGAACGAGUGUGAGAGUGGAAAGCUCACACUGUGACGGUAUCUUACCAGAAAGGGACGGCUAACUACGUG